GAUAGACGAAUCCGGACAUAGCCGUGAUUUCUUUUUGGCUGAGAACCUUUUGAAUUUAAAGGGUUCAUCAUCAAAACACUCGUCGCUUUGGUUCAGUGAUAAUAAAUUCGACUCCGUUGAUGAGUGUUUCGUUGUGGCCUCAUUUCACUCCAAUAAAGGUGGUGUGCAGAUAAUUGAAUGUGGGGUACAUCCUAUAUAUAGUAGAAAUAAAAGGAGAAGCAGAAAUGAAGAGCAUCAGGAUGACGAGGAACACUAACCUCCUCUUCAAAGAUUAAGAGCAGAAGAAUAAAUAAUGAGAAAGAAGAAAAGGAAGAGGAGGCUUCUUCUUCUUCACUCAAUCUAAAUCUCUCUCUAUCUCUUCCUGCUUCCUCUUAAUACUCCUCUGCCUCCAACCUAACCCUACUCCCAAUCACAACAGCGAGUCUCCUGCCUUUUAAGGGUAGAAGGUAGAUCCACUAGUCCAUCACUUUCAACAAACUCUGCUACCGAUUACCCAAGGAAAGUUGGAAGGGACAAUAAGUAGGGUUGUACCUGAGCAUUGACAAGCCUUUGGUCUAAUUCCAACGUGUAAUAUGGAGUAAAUGAGAACUGGAACAGUGGAACUUCACACUCUCCAUUCGCAGGAACAGGAAAAUGUCCUUGAUCGCGUCUGAAGAGCUGAAAUCAAUGGCUUCGAAUUGCUCCGGUUUGUGCGUAGAAAGGGUCUCAAGAAGGGUGACAAAAAUUCAUUUUGACAAGGGAAGUUGAUGAAGCUUAAUACAGGAUUAGAGCUGAGACAAUAAUAAUGGGGGCUUGGAAUGGAUCCCUGUUGCAUGACUAUAAUGGCCUUCUCUAUACUUAUUGAUGGCAUUUCUCUGGAUAAAGAUCAAACCAGGGAGACGGCGAAACCCAGUCUUGUCUUGCUUUCCCAGCACCACUUUCAUCUGAUGCUGAUCAUUUCAGCUGCUCGGAUGUUUGCUAUUGCCAACUUCAUUGCUGUUGUCAAUAGUUUUUUAGCAGCUUUUCUCAGAGCAUUGCUUUGUUUUGAGAUUUGGUUUAAUGUUUUGAAGGAACGAGCUAUUUGGCGAUGGAAUGGCACAAUAAUAUCAUGGUUUUAUUUUCCUACUCAAAAGGGGCACUCUUCUUAGUUCUUUCAUGGACCUUUGUUGGAUUGGUUUGUGCACUUGAUCGAUGCACUCUCACAAUUGUUGGUUUUUGUUUGUUCCUUAGAAAUGGUAAUAAUCCAAUCAAAAUAUCCAUUUGGGCUAUCA